GGAGCGGUUUCGGUUUUCGUGCCCGGGGAGCUGGGGCUGGAUUCGGCCUCACUCCGGAUUGCUCGGCUCCGAAAGGCGCUGCGCUCCUCGCUCCGCAAGGCUCCGGGCCGGGGUUUUAGGGAGUUUUAAUAAGAACGUUAUCUUUCUCUAUACAUUACUGAAAUCCCAAGUGGGGGAGGGAUUUAUUGUAUAACCUGGCCGGCAGAUCCGAGGCUUUGAGUGUAAAAAGAUGUGAGGAGAAAUGGCGUGUGCGAACAGCUCUGAAAAUGGCUCAAGGUGUAUAGACGAAAGGAAGCAAACCCUCUACCAUCCAGGUAUGGUGUUACUUUGGGUGCCUUCGUGACCCCUAGUAGGAGACAGCAGACAGGUCGCCCAAGGAUCUAUAUGCUUACAGAAAGGAGCUCCAAAAGUUAAGUAUUUUUGUUAUGGCCUUCGCUGCUUGAAUACCCAGCUUCUCUGUGCUCUCCUAUGGAAAAUGGACCAGAGGCUAGAUGCUGUAAGUAUUCCUCCAAGGAGUGAGUGCUCCCAAGGCAGUGAGAGCUGCUCCGGGCAGCUCCAGGGCCACGUCUCCGUCUCUUCCCACAGGAAAUGAUCAGUGGAGAGAGCCCCGUUCCCGUUUCCACCACAUUUCCAUGUGAAACCCUGAUAGUGAAAACACCGUAACCAAGGGUCGCUGGUCACAACAUUUCCAAGUGCUCGUGCAAA